rnacentral:rRNA from 1 species
AUGAGAUCUACAUCCAUCACAGGCACCACGUAUAAUAAUGUACAGCCAUCACAUACAUUACAUGCAUCACAGGACGUCUCCCCAUGGACGGAGCCUGCAUUUCAUCAUUCUCAAUACAGACUUUCUAACAGAAUAAAACUUUCUAACAGAAUAAAGGGCCAUGGAAACUUGGAAGCAAGUAAACACGAGUGGCUUCCAGACUCUUGCCUUUUUUUGCAACUGCAAAACCCUUUGCAUCAAAACCACUUAGUUCGCCAAUUGCUGAAGGUGGAAGAUCUUUUUAUCGAAUCUUCGGCAGCACCAGGUUCCUAA